AAUAUUAAUAAAAGUGUGGAGUAUCUUGAAUUAUGAAAGAAAAAUAGAUCUAUAAUAAAAUGCGAUUGAAUGAAAGUAUUUUCAUUUAAUUAAGUGACGUANUAAUUAUAUUACGAUUAUCGUCGUGUACAGAUACGUAAGCGACC
rnacentral:misc_RNA from 1 species